GACGAACGCUGGCGGCGUGCCUAAUACAUGCAAGUCGAACGAGAGCGACCGGUGCUUGCACUGGUCAAUCUAGUGGCGAACGGGUGAGUAACACGUGGGUAACCUGCCCAUCAGAGGGGGAUAACAUCCGGAAACGGAUGCUAAAACCGCAUAGGUCUUCGAGCCGCAUGGCUUGAAGAGGAAAAGAGGCGCAAGCUUCUGCUGAUGGAUGGACCCGCGGUGCAUUAGCUAGUUGGUGAGGUAACGGCUCACCAAGGCCGUGAUGCAUAGCCGACCUGAGAGGGUGAUCGGCCACAUUGGGACUGAGACACGGCCCAAACUCCUACGGGAGGCAGCAGUAGGGAAUCUUCCGCAAUGGACGCAAGUCUGACGGAGCAACGCCGCGUGAGUGAAGAAGGUUUUCGGAUCGUAAAACUCUGUUGUUAGAGAAGAACAAGUGCUAGAGUAACUGUUAGCGCCUUGACGGUAUCUAACCAGAAAGCCACGGCUAACUACGUGCCAGCCGCCGCCGUAA
rnacentral:rRNA from 1 species